UUUUGUACCUGGCACCACGAUCAAGAAGUUAAUUUCCUCAGGAUGAGGCACUUCCACUGCACUUUUCAUUUGGGUAGAUCCCUAUGCUUUCCCCAAAUUUGGGAAUCUUAACUGAAUAACUUAUAGUAGUGUGGGACUGCAUUUGUGCAGUUCCCUU